GAACGGGUGAGUAACACGUGGGCAAUCUGCCCUUCACUCUGGGACAAGCCCUGGAAACGGGGUCUAAUACCGGAUACGACCUCCGACCGCAUGGUCUGGUGGUGGAAAGCUCCGGCGGUGAAGGAUGAGCCCGCGGCCUAUCAGCUUGUUGGUGGGGUGAUGGCCUACCAAGGCGACGACGGGUAGCCGGCCUGAGAGGGCGACCGGCCACACUGGGACUGAGACACGGCCCAGACUCCUACGGGAGGCAGCAGUGGGGAAUAUUGCACAAUGGGCGAAAGCCUGAUGCAGCGACGCCGCGUGAGGGAUGACGGCCUUCGGGUUGUAAACCUCUUUCAGCAGGGAAGAAGCGAGAGUGACGGUACCUGCAGAAGAAGCGCCGGCUAACUACGUGCCAGCAGCCGCGGUAAUACGUAGGGCGCAAGCGUUGUCCGGAAUUAUUGGGCGUAAAGAGCUCGUAGGCGGCUUGUCACGUCGGAUGUGAAAGCCCGGGGCUUAACCCCGGGUCUGCAUUCGAUACGGGCAGGCUAGAGUUCGGUAGGGGAGAUCGGAAUUCCUGGUGUAGCGGUGAAAUGCGCAGAUAUCAGGAGGAACACCGGUGGCGAANGCGGAUCUCUGGGCCGAUACUGACGCUGAGGAGCNAA
rnacentral:rRNA from 1 species